rnacentral:rRNA from 1 species
CCCUUAGAUGUUCGGGGCCGCACGCGCGCUACACUGAUGGGGACAGCGUGUUUGCCAUUCCUGGUCCGGCAGGAUUGGGCAAUCCGUUGAACCCCCGUCGUGAUUGGGAUCGGAGCUUGUAACUAUUCUCCGUAAACGAGGAAUUCCCAGUAAGCGCAAGUCAUCAGCUUGCGUUGAUUACGUCCCUGCCCUUUGUACACACCGCCCGUCGCACCUACCGAUUGGAUGGUCCGGUGAAGCCUCGGGAUUGUGGCGGUUGCCUUUAUUGGUGGCCGCCGCGAGAACUUGUCUAAACCUUAUCAUCUAGAGGAAGGUGAAGUCGUAACA